rnacentral:rRNA from 1 species
CGCGUAGGCGGCCGAGCGGGUCGCGGGUGAAAUCCUCCAGCUUAACUGGAGAACUGCCCUCGAUACCACUGCGGCUCGAGGAAGGAAGGGGCAAUUGGAACUGUCGGUGGAGCGGUGAAAUGCGUUGAUAUCGACAGGAACGCCUGUGGCGAAAGCGAAUUGCUGGUCCUUUUCUGACGCUGAUGCGCGAAAGCCAGGGAGCAAACG